rnacentral:rRNA from 1 species
UAGGGAAUCUUCCACAAUGGACGCAAGUCUGAUGGAGCAACGCCGCGUGAGUGAAGAAGGUUUUCGGAUCGUAAAGCUCUGUUGUUGGUGAAGAAGGAUAGAGGCAGUAACUGGUCUUUAUUUGACGGUAAUCAACCAGAAAGUCACGGCUAACUACGUGCCAGCAGCCGCGGUAAUACGUAGGUGGCAAGCGUUGUCCGGAUUUAUUGGGCGUAAAGCGAGCGCAGGCGGAAUGAUAAGUCUGAUGUGAAAGCCCACGGCUCAACCGUGGAACUGCAUCGGAAACUGUCAUUCUUGGGUGCAGAAGAGGAGAGUGGAACUCCAUGUGUAGCGGUGGAAUGCGUAGAUAUAUGGAAGAACACCAGUGGCGAAGGCGGCUCUCUGGUCUGCAACUGACGCUGAGGCUCGAAAGCAUGGGUAGCGAACAGGAUUAGAUACCCUGGUAGUCCAUGCCGUAAACGAUGAGCGCUAGGUGUUGGGGACUUUCCGGUCCUCAGUGCCGCAGCAAACGCAUUAAGCGCUCCGCCUGGGGAGUACGACCGCAAGGUUGAAAC